rfam:Lactobacillus equigenerosi DSM 18793 = JCM 14505 strain DSM 18793 NODE_116, whole genome shotgun sequence.
GUUUGUCUUCAAGGCAGGGUGUAAUUCCCGACCGGCGGUAUAGCCCGCAACCCACAAUCGUGGUGGAAUCUGGUGAAAUUCCAGGUGCCGACAGUAAAGUCUGGUAUGCAGAAGAUUAAU